GGGCCCGCACAAGCAGUGGAGUAUGUGGUUUAAUUCGAAGCAACGCGAAGAACCUUACCAGGGCUUGACAUCCCUCUGACCGUCCUAGAGAUAGGACUUCUCUUCGGAGCAGAGGAGACAGGUGGUGCAUGGUUGUCGUCAGCUCGUGUCGUGAGAUGUUGGGUUAAGUCCCGCAACGAGCGCAACCCCUGUUGUUAGUUGCCAUCAUUAAGUUGGGCACUCUAGCGAGACUGCCGGUGACAAAUCGGAGGAAGGUGGGGACGACGUCAAAUCAUCAUGCCCCUUAUGUCCUGGGCUACACACGUACUACAAUGGCUAUUACAGAGGGAAGCGAAGCCGCGAGGUGGAGCAAAUCUCCAAAAAUAGUCCCAGUUCAGAUUGCAGGCUGAAACUCGCCUGCAUGAAGUCGGAAUUGCUAGUAAUGGCAGGUCAGCAUACUGCCGUGAAUACGUUCCCGGGCCUU
rnacentral:rRNA from 1 species